rnacentral:rRNA from 1 species
UGGGGAAUAUUGCACAAUGGGCGAAAGCCUGAUGCAGCAACGCCGCGUGAGUGAUGAAGGCCUUCGGGUUGUAAAGCUCUGUCUUUUGGGACGAUAAUGACGGUACCAAAGGAGGAAGCCACGGCUAACUACGUGCCAGCAGCCGCGGUAAUACGUAGGUGGCAAGCGUUGUCCGGAUUUACUGGGCGUAAAGGAUGCGUAGGCGGAUUUUUUAAGUGAGAUGUGAAAACCCUAAGCUUAACUUGGGGACUGCAUUUCAUACUGGAAAUCUAGAGUGCGGGAGAGGAGAAUGGAAUUCCUAGUGUAGCGGUGAAAUGCGUAGAGAUUAGGAAGAACACCAGUGGCGAAGGCGAUUCUCUGGACCGUAACUGACGCUGAGGCAUGAAAAGCGUGGGUAGCAAACAGGAUUAGAUACCCUGGUAGUCCACGCCGUAAACGAUGAGUACUAGGUGUAGGAGGUAUCGACCCCCUUCUGUGCCGCAGUUAACACAAUAAGUACUCCGCCUGGGAAGUACGAUCGCAAGAUU